rnacentral:tRNA from 1 species
GGAAAGUUAAGCCUAAUGGUAAGGCAGGAGUUUGCUAAACUCCCAGUAGUCACUUAUUAGUGAUGUAUGGGUUCAAGUCCCAUACUUUCCCCCA